AAACCCCCUCCCGACAUCCUUUCGACAUGUGACAACUAGAAAAUUUUCAUCUCCAAUCUAAGUCCUUGUUUAGUUCACCCCGAAAACCAAAAAGUUUUCUAGAUUCCCCGUCACAUCGAAUCUUUUGACACAUGCAUGAAGCAUUAAAUAUAGAUAAAAAUAAAAACUAAUUGCACAGUUUACCUAUAAAUCGCGAGAUGAAUCUUUUGAUCAUAGUUAGUCCAUAAUUAAACAAUAUUUGUCACAAACAAACGAAAGUGCUACGGUAGCAAAAUCCAAAUUUUUUUCGCAUCUAAGGCCUUGUUUAGUUAGCAAAAAUUUUCAAGAUUCCCCGUCACAUCGAAUCUUUGGUCGCAUGCAUUGAUCAUUAAAUAUAGACGAAAAUAAAAACUAACUGCACAGUUUAGCUGUAAUUUGUGAGAUGAAUAUUUUGAGCCUAGUUACUCCAUGAUUGGACAAUGUUUGUAAAAAAAAAACGAAAUUCUACAGUACCCAAAAACAAAAAAAUUUGCAAACUAAACAAGGCCUAAACCAGGCAUAAACAGGGCCUAAAGUCAGUCCGGGAGAAUAACGAUAAACCGUAAGAGCUGCGCCAGUCACGUCGCGUCGAGCUGAUCCUCUGCCGGCGACUUUGCGUCAAACAGCGCCGAGCACAUGAGGCAGCAACGACGGUCGACGGCAGUCUCUGGGAGGGCUGAUGCAAUGCUAUGCCUGGAUUCUCUGGCCGGUAUCUUGGACGAAACUGUCGAAAUCGCAAAACCGCGGGCGUACGUAGUGGUCAAUCGUCAACGUACGUAUGUGCGCCCAACCCAAGCUUGUACGCCAGCUA
rnacentral:lncRNA from 1 species